rnacentral:rRNA from 1 species
GACAGAGGGUGCAAACGUUGUUCGGAAUUACUGGGCGUAAAGCGCGUGUAGGCGGCUGCGCAAGUCGGAUGUGAAAUCCCAUGGCUCAACCAUGGAAGUGCACCCGAAACUGCGUAGCUAGAGUCUCGGAGAGGAAGGUGGAAUGCUUGGUGUAGAGGUGAAAUUCGUAGAUAUCAAGCAGAACACCGGUGGCGAAGGCGGCCUUCUGGACGAUGACUGACGCUGAGACGCGAAAGCGUGGGGAGCAAACAGG